rnacentral:rRNA from 1 species
UAGGGAAUAUUGGUCAAUGGGCGAGAGCCUGAACCAGCCAUGCCGCGUGCAGGAAGAAGGCCCUCUGGGUUGUAAACUGCUUUUGACUAGGGCCAAAAUGACCAUGCGUGGUAGAUUGAGAGUACUAGUAGAAUAAGCACCGGCUAACUCCGUGCCAGCAGCCGCGGUAAUACGGAGGGUGCAAGCGUUGUCCGGAUUUAUUGGGUUUAAAGGGUGCGUAGGUGGCUCUAUAAGUCAGUGGUGAAAGCCUGCAGCUUAACUGUAGGAUUGCCAUUGAUACUGUGGAGCUUGAGUACUGAUGAGGUAGGCGGAAUUGAUAGUGUAGCGGUGAAAUGCAUAGAUAUUAUCAAGAACACCGAUUGCGAAGGCAGCUUACUAAGGAGUUACUGACACUGAGGCA